ensembl:snoRNA SNORA72 Small nucleolar RNA SNORA72
AUGCAUAUAUUCUUGCUGUUCUAAUUUUGCAAUAAUCAGGGGAGGCUAAACAUAUAUUAAGACCAUGCAUGUGUCCCCAGACCUACUUCUUCCCCUAGGUCUGGUUUUAUAAAUGCUGGUGAUAAAC